UACGUAGGCAGCGAGCGUUUGUUCGGAGUUACUGGGCGUAAAGGGUGUGUAGGCGGUUCUUUUAAGUUUGGUGUGAAAUCUCCCGGCUUAACCGGGAGGGUGCGCCGAAUACUGAGGGACUAGAGUACGGGAGAGGAAAGUGGAAUUCCUGGUGUAGCGGUGGAAAUGCGUAGAUAUCAGGAGGAACACCGGUGGUGUAGACGGCUUUCUGGACCGUAACUGACGCUGAGACACGAAAGCGUGGGUAGCAAACAGG
rnacentral:rRNA from 1 species